rnacentral:rRNA from 1 species
GAUGAACGCUAGCUACAGGCUUAACACAUGCAAGUCGAGGGGAAACGAUAGAGAAAGCUUGCUUUUUCUAGGCGUCGACCGGCGCACGGGUGAGUAACGCGUAUCCAACCUGCCCAUCACUUGGGGAUAACCUUGCGAAAGUAAGACUAAUACCCAAUGACGUCUCUAGAAGACAUCUGAAGGAGAUUAAAGAUUUAUCGGUGAUGGAUGGGGAUGCGUCUGAUUAGCUUGUUGGCGGGGUAACGGCCCACCAAGGCGACGAUCAGUAGCCGGUCUGAGAGGAUGAACGGCCACACUGGAACUGAGACACGGUCCAGACUCCUACGGGAGGCAGCAGUGGGGAAUCUUCCGCAAUGGGCGAAAGCCUGACGGAGCAACGCCGCGUGAGUGAUGACGGCCUUCGGU